UACGUAGGGCGCAAGCGUUAUCCGGAAUUAUUGGGCGUAAAGAGCUCGUAGGCGGUUUGUCGCGUCUGCCGUGAAAGUCCGGGGCUCAACUCCGGAUCUGCGGUGGGUACGGGCAGACUAGAGUGAUGUAGGGGAGACUGGAAUUCCUGGUGUAGCGGUGAAAUGCGCAGAUAUCAGGAGGAACACCGAUGGCGAAGGCAGUCGUCUGGCGAUUAACUGACGCUGAGGAGCGAAAGCAUGGGGAGCGAACAGG
rnacentral:rRNA from 1 species